CCCUGGUACAGAAGGGCACAGGCUCUUCAAAAAGAUAAGCCGCCCCACCGCUGGAACCAUCACUCUUUCACUGAGUGAAUCCUCAACAGUCACCUCUGGCCACAACGCUCUGAUUGAACCCGUGGCUCUGGCAUCAUCUUUCUCGUUCUCGCUCAUCCUAUCUUUCUCUCAGCGGCCCUGCAGGUAUCAGUGUGAAGAAUGAAGCGUCAGCAAAUCUCAGUGCUUGUUGUCUGAAGACCAGUGCUGUCUGUUAUUCCCUCUGGCAUUACUGAACCAGUGCAGCUGGACACAGACCAGGCGGGAUGUGGAUGCGAGCGAUCAACAUGCGAUGCACCGCUAAAAUCAUUACAUCUCUCACUCCCAAAGAGACACCAAAAGUUUGCUGUUCCUGAUACAGAUACGAGUUCGAGAAAUCAGCGAGAGGAAGAGAAAGAGGGAAAGAGCGAGCGCAUCGGUUCAGUGCCCUCAGUGCAGCGGGCUAUCAGCUGUUAUUUACCUUGCGAAUGGAGCGCUGUGUGGUUCUGUGACUGCUGAUCAACCUUCUGCUCACCAGUGGAGGACAUCAAGGCUGCCUCUCUUUGAAUCAAGUGAGAUGGAGGACCACAGGACUCAUUUCCACUCACACUGUCCCUCUGUCAUCAUGUGCCAGCAGAAGGCAUCAACCGACACUCAAAGAUAGACCCUGCAAAAGAAGAUUUGAAGCCUAAUUAAUUUUUGGCAUGUUUUAGCU